AGAUGGCCAAACUGUUACAGAACCAGCACAUACUGCUGAGGGGCAGCAACAUGCACAAACUGAAGGCAAUUUUGAAACUGUAAAUCCCAACCUGUCUAAAGAGGCUGACAUAGAUGGCCAAAUUGUUAAAGAACCACCACAUAAUGCUGAGGGGCAGCAAUCUCCACAAACUGAAGGCAAUUUUGAAACUGUAAAUCCCAACCUCUCUAAAGAGGCUGACAUAGCAUCCGGAGACCAUGUGGGAGAUGUUAAUGUUACUGAUGAUGAGCAGCAGCGUUCGCCACCACCAGGUGCUAACACGUCUCCGG